GGGCCCUUAGCUCAAUCUGGUUAGAGCAGGGCGCUCAUAACGCCUUGGUUGGAGGUUCAAAUCCUCCAGGGCCCA
rnacentral:tRNA from 2 species